GCGGGCGUAAUUCAGCGGUAGAAUGUCAGCUUCCCAAGCUGAAAGUCGAGAGUUCGAAUCUCUUCGCCCGCU
rfam:Planctomycetes bacterium GWF2_41_51 gwf2_scaffold_7318, whole genome shotgun sequence.